AUUGAACGCUGGCGGCAUGCUUUACACAUGCAAGUCGAGCGGCAGCGCGGGGGGCAACCCUGGCGGCGAGCGGCGAACGGGUGAGUAAUGCAUCGGAACGUAUCCUGUAGUGGGGAAUAACUCACCGAAAGGUGAGCUAAUACCGCAUAAGCUCUGAGGAGGAAAGCGGGGGACCGAAAGGCCUCGCGCUGCAGGAGCGGCCGAUGUCCGAUUAGCUAGUUGGUGAGGUAAAGGCUCACCAAGGCGACGAUCGGUAGCUGGUCUGAGAGGAUGAUCAGCCACACUGGGACUGAGACACGGCCCAGACUCCUACGGGAGGCAGCAGUGGGGAAUUUUGGACAAUGGGGGAAACCCUGAUCCAGCCAUGCCGCGUGAGUGAAGAAGGCCUUCGGUUGUAAAGACUCUUCGGUACGGAACGAAAUUAGCUUGGACUAAUACUACUGAGUAGAUGACGUACCGUAAGAAGAAGCACCGGCUAACUACGUGCCAG
rnacentral:rRNA from 1 species